UGGGGAAUUUUGGACAAUGGGCGCAAGCCUGAUCCAGCCAUGCCGCGUGCGGGAAGAAGGCCUUCGGGUUGUAAACCGCUUUUGUCAGGGAAGAAAUCUUCUGAGUUAAUACCUCGGGAGGAUGACGGUACCUGAAGAAUAAGCACCGGCUAACUACGUGCCAGCAGCCGCGGUAAUACGUAGGGUGCAAGCGUUAAUCGGAAUUACUGGGCGUAAAGCGUGCGCAGGCGGUUUUGUAAGACAGAGGUGAAAUCCCCGGGCUCAACCUGGGAACUGCCUUUGUGACUGCAAGGCUUGAGUGCGCAGAGGGGGAUGGAAUUCCGCGUGUAGCAGUGAAAUGCGUAGAUAUGCGGAGGAACACCGAUGGCGAAGGCAAUCCCCCUGGGCCUGCACUGACGCUCAUGCACGAAAGCGUGGGGAGCAAACAGGAUUAGAUACCCUGGUAGUCCACGCCCUAAAACGAUGUC
rnacentral:rRNA from 1 species